rnacentral:rRNA from 1 species
ACUGCUAUCGAGAUGGGACUAGACAUGCUAGUUAAGCGCCUCCCAGCCAUGUGGGAGGUGCAGCGCACAGCUCAGUAACACGUGGCUAACCUGCCCUUGGGAUAGGAAUAACCCCGGGAAACUGGGGCUAAUUCCCAUAGGCGAAGGACACUGGAAUGUGCCUUCACCAGAAAGGGUGUCGGAUCAUGCUUUCGGCAUCGCCCAAGGAUGGGGCCGCGACCGAUCAGGCUGUUGGUGAGGUAAUGGCCCACCAAACCUAUAACCGGUGCGGGCCGUGAGAGCGGGAGCCCGGAGAUGGGCACUGAGACAAGGGCCCAGGUCCUACGGGGCGCAGCAGUCGCGAAACCUUUGCAAUACACGAAAGUGUGACAGGGUCAUCCCGAGUGCCGACCGCUGAGGUUGGCUUUUACCCAGUCUAGAAAGCUGGGGGAAUAAGGAGAGGGCAAGUCUGGUGUCAGCCGCCGCGGUAAUACCAGCUCUCCGAGUGGUGUGGACGUUUAUUGGGCCUAAAGCAUCCGUAGCUGGCUGAACAAGUCCCCUGUUAAACCCACCGAUUUAAUCGUUGGUCUGCGGGGGAUACUGUUCGGCUAGGGGACGAGAGAGGCAGACGGUAUUCCCGGGGUAGGGGUGAAAUCCUAUAAUCCCGAGAAGACCACCAGUGGCGAAGGCUGUCUGCUAGAACGCGCCCGACGGUGAGGGAUGAAAGCUGGGGGAGCGAACCGGAUUAGAUACCCGGGUAGUCCCAGCUGUAAACGAUGCAGACUAGGUGUUUGGACGGCCACGUGCCGUUCUAGUGCCGCAGGGAAGCUGUUAAGUCUGCCGCCUGGGGAGUACGGUCGCAAGAUUGAAACUUAAAGGAAUUGGCGGG